UUGUUUAUUGUUUGUGUGUCAACUGGCGUUUCUUAUCUCGUAUGUGCUUUGCUUGCUUGAUUAGAGUCGUAGCUCUACUACGUAGCUGUUUGAUAAAUGCGGAUGAAGGCUACGCGUGGAAAACGUGUUUACAUUCACCAGUCGUUGUGUUCCAAAAUUACUUAAAUGCGGAGGGAAUAGUUAUCCAAUUUCUUUCAUUCACGAGCAGGGAUGUGUUGCUUUGUUGACGCUACAGGGAAGUUUCCUGGUUUAAAGAAAUUUGUGGCUAUAGGCAACAGCUACUUCAACAAGCUUUGCAUGAAAUCGUGCGUGUGUAACUUAGUUCUAGUGUGAGUGUGUGAUAUUGUACUCUGUGCAGUAUUUACGAAGGGACUGGUUGGUUUAUAUUUUUGUUUAUGUAAAUGAAAAAUGUAAAGUUGUGUGUAGUAGUGAGACAAAAGCCUUUCAUACAUUUAUUUAAGGUUGUCUGUUGUCUGUUUGAAGGUGUGUCUGCAAAGCUCUGAAACGUUUUGUCUUUUUUUUUAUCUCUUCUGCUCUGGAUAAGGUGGACUUCUCUCCUCUGACCGGUUACCAAGACAGCUGGGUGUGUAGGAAACUGGAACUAAGUCACUGAAGAAGUAAACCGAUGAAAACCGAUUUGGAUUGUCUGAGAGAUCUGUAGGACACAAGUAAGAGGAGAAGAAUGCUGCUCAGCUGGGUCGGCGUCGGCCACACUACUUAUUCAAGAAGCCCUUGGAUAUCAUCGGCAUGUAUGAAGCACAGUCAUUCCGGUAGUCUGUUCCUCGAUGGACGUGAUGACCUGGCACCAAAACCGCUUAAUGUGUACGGAGCUGUGUCUGCAUCGAGGGAAGAACGCGGCACUGAAAUGACACAAAUGAAAGAAGAUUACUUCUGCUCUGCUGGGUCUGUGACACUAUUUAUCCGAGGAGUCCUCAAACAUCAGGAUGUAGGAAGACACAAGUAAAAGGAGAAGAAUGCUGCUCAGCUGGGUCGGCGGCCACACUACUUAUUCAAGAA